rnacentral:lncRNA from 1 species
GAGAUACGAGAUGGUAAAAAAAAGGAGACAAGUGGAGAUCAUGAAAAUAAGGUUGGUGAAGAACUAACUAUGAGUACCAACGAGAAUGAGUCGAUGUUAUUAGUUCCCCAAGUUCCUUCUCCAUCAAAGAUCAGGGGUGUAGUUGGAUUUGCAAAACUGUGUCCGCUUGGUAGUCAUGUCGUGGGCAAAGGCUCUUUAUGACAUGAG